rnacentral:rRNA from 1 species
UAAGACGGAGGGAGCAAGCGUUGUCCGGAAUUACUGGGCGUAAAGAGCUCGUAGGCGGGGGCUUAAGUCCGAGAGUAAAUUCGCCGGCUUAACUGGCGACUCAUCUUGGAUACUGGGCUUCUUGAGGACAGGAGAGGAAAGGGGAAUUCCUAGUGUAGCGGUGAAAUGCGUAGAUAUUAGGAGGAACACCCGUGGCGAAGGCGCCUUUCUGGCCUGUUCCUGACGCUGAGGAGCGAAAGCCAGGGGAGCGAACGGGAUUAGAUACCCCGGUAGUCCUGGCUGUAAACGAUGGAUACUAGGUGUAGGGGGUAUCGACCCCCUCUGUGCCGCAGCUAACGCAAUAAGUAUCCCGCCUGGGGAGUACGGCCGCAAGGUUGAAACUUAAAUGAAUUGACGG